rnacentral:rRNA from 1 species
GACGAACCGUGCGAACGUUGUUCGGAAUCACUGGGCAUAAAGGGCGCGUAGGCGGCUUAUCAAGUCAGGGGUGAAAUCCGGCAGCUCAACUGUCGAAGUGCCUUUGAUACUGAUGAGCUCGAGGGAGGUAGGGGUCUGUGGAACUUCCGGUGGAGCGGUGAAAUGCGUUGAUAUCGGAAGGAACGCCGGUGGCGAAAGCGACGGGCUGGACCUCUUCUGACGCUGAGGCGCGAAAGCUAGGGGAGCAAACGGG